UACGGAGGGUGCGAGCGUUAAUCGGAAUUACUGGGCGUAAAGCGCACGCAGGCGGUUUGUUAAGCUAGAUGUGAAAGCCCCGGGCUCAACCUGGGAUGGUCAUUUAGAACUGGCAGACUAGAGUCUUGGAGAGGGGAGUGGAAUUCCAGGUGUAGCGGUGAAAUGUGUAGAUAUCUGGAGGAACAUCAGUGGCGAAGGCGACUCCCUGGCCAAAGACUGACGCUCAUGUGCGAAAGUGUGGGUAGCGAACAGG
rnacentral:rRNA from 1 species